CAUCCAGAUCCCACAAGGGCGGCCGCAUCCCCCACUACCGACGUCAUCUCUUCUCCUCGACCCUCGCCGGCGCAUCCCACCCACUUCCGCGCCGUCAAGAACCGCCGAUCUCCACCCUCGCGUCCUGUCGCCCGGAGGCCAACUCCAUCUCCGCGCUCUUCUGGGGGUCUUUCCCCGUGCGGCGCCGAGCUCCGGGAAGACGUUCAUCACCUGGGCACGCCUCCAUCGACGAGCUCCUGCUCCGGCGCCCAUCCGGAGAAGGAAAGCCGCUUCAAUUCACCCAGCCACUGCGCCGCUAUCCUCCUCCGACCGCUGAUUGUUGUUGCUGCUGUCCGGACCCCUGCCGGCCGGCCACCUCCACAAGAAGGUGAGGGUGAAAUCCCUAGAGAAGCUUGGGAUGGAUGGAUUGAUGGUGGUGCAGCUCGAGGCGGCCAGUUACUAUCGGCGGUAGGUUGGGAGGGACGACGUACAUCCCCGGGGCACGCCUCUAUCGGCGAGCUCUUGCUCCGGUGCCCAUCUGGCGAAGGAAGUCCGCUUCAAUUCACCCAGCCACCACGCCGCUAUACUCCUCUGAUGACCAGAUGCUGCUGCUAACCGGACCCUGCGCCGGACGCCUCCACAAGCUGGUUAGAGAAGCUUGGGAUUGAUGGAUUGAUGGUGGUGCAGCUCUCAUGUCCGCUGCCGCCUUUUUCUCUGUUCCUAAAUUAUCGCUGCAUCGACUAUGCUGUUUCAGGGAGGCACUAAAAUGGGUACGAAUCAUGCCAUGAACCCUUCACGACCACAGAUCGAAGCGCUGCUACACGGGCAAGCUGCCGGUGCUGAUGGGAGGAGCUUGCCCUGGCAUAGUGGAGGCACAUAGGACAAGCUUGUGGUCUUCUGCCCAGGCCGCUGCUACCGGCAACCACGCCCUCGAGCUUCUGCUCUGGCCACAGUUUCAACCACCA